rnacentral:rRNA from 1 species
UGAGGAACAUGACUUUGGUGUGGGAUAGCCGGCCCAACGGCCGGGUAAUACCGCGUACGACCACAUGGGGACAUCCCUGAGUGGUGAAAGCAGCAAUGCGCCGAUGGAGUGCCUCGCGGCCUAUCAGCUAGUUGGUGAGGUAACGGCUCACCAAGGCGACGACGGGUAGCUGGUCUGAGAGGAUGGCCAGCCACACUGGAACUGAGAUACCGGCCCAGAUCCCGUAACGGGG